rnacentral:misc_RNA from 1 species
UUGACUUAUUGUAUAAGUUACUCAGAGAGGCCACUGAUGACAAAGAGUUUCAGGCUUCUGGCGGGGUGCCGGAUCCCCUAGAGAGGAGCCGGCGCAGCCCGUGGUUAGCGGGCCACCCGCCGAAGCAACGGUGAGGUAGGUUCACAAUGGUUGGGAGUUUUGCAACUCUGUAAUGAUCCCUCCGCUGGUUCACCAACGGAGA